AGUCACUGAACUUCAGGAGAAACUGAAGAAAAUCACUGGAGAAAUGAAUAAAAUUGAUGAAACGAUGGCACAGAAAAACCAAGAACUUCAGGAUUGCAUCAGAGAAGCUUCUAGAAAACGUAAUCGUCUGGGUUUCUUCACUGCCCUAGUACCAUUUGUUGGACCCUUAGUCAAUGCGAUUUUUAGUUCUAACAUUAGCGGUGAUCUGGCUGCAAGAAUACAGGUGAUAUCCAAUGAGUUGUCUCGACUCUCCAAUGAGAAAUCAAACCUGAGGAACCAGGAGUGGAAAAUGCAUGUCAGUUUGACGAUUUGCAGCUGAAGCUGGUGAACAUGAUAAUGAAAUACGAGUCGAUACCCGACCCUGUCCAUCUGAAUGAUGUCCAAAUCUGCCUCAGUCGAAUCCAGCAAAUUCUGAUUCAGAUUAGGACUUUCUGGGAAACGUGUGAGUGAAAUGCUGGGGGCUCUAAAAAGAGACGUUUGCCAAUGAACACUUCGUCGUGGAUAGUGACAUGAAGGAGUUCUUUCUGACCUCUAUCACCGAAGCACAACAGCAUUGGAAGGACUUUGGUGAAUCCUGCCUGCAGGCCAGGGACAUCUUUAGUUUGCAGAAAAAGAAUUCGUAUUUGUUCCUGGAGAUCAGCCCAUCUUCACUGUCACCAAAUGAAUGGCAAAAACGGUAUAAUGCUGUCAUUGAGGAGCUGAACAAAAUAAGUCCCGAUCCUUUUACUCCCAAAGCCAUUACUGGCUAAUGUACAAGCUUAAGAAGUCUAUACAUACCUAUACCGUUUCAGCAUAACUGCUCUGAAUAACACAUUUGUUAUAUCUUAUGGGGUUUUAAAAAUCUUUAUGUGAGCUAAGUCGUUGGGGAUUUUCAUUUCUCUUAUACCAUAUCUGGUUUUUUUCUGUGAUUAAAUUGCUUUGGAAUUCAAAAUUAUAUAUUUUUUUUUUGUUAGCACAAAAUAUACAACAUUUUCUGAUACACUGGGUGGAGAGAUUCAGUCUACAAAAGAAAUGUCAGACUUGCACGACUUGCAAUUACAGAACAUGAACAACAGAAACAUGAGGGCAUAAAUAUACAUGACAUUUUUUUAUGUAUAUGUCGCUUUCUGUGCACACUGCUGCUUCCAAAUGACGUGGACAUCUCAAAAUGCCUAUUUCAAUAAAAUCUUUAUUUU